ensembl:lncRNA
CUCCAGUGGGACAGAAGAGAGGAGGGACUGUGUCUCCUGCUCGCCUCCCAUUGCUUUCCCAACCCCAAGAGAUGCUUCCUCUUCCACCGCACAGACGGUCUGGGGAGAGAAUAUACCUUAUUUGAAGGUGAAUUGAAUGGAGUUGGCAGACCCAGGGAAGGAGACCACUGUCCCCUGUGCUCUCAUUUGGCACUUAGGCCUCGGGACAAAACUCAGAUGUCCAAGGUUCCCAAUACCAGCGGCAGCCUGAUCUAGUUCCUUCCCGCUCUGAGUCUCAGUUGCCUCAUCUGUGGAGUGGGCUUAUAGACUAUUCUCUCCCUGAGGCCCUGUGAUGUUAACCUGGCCACAUGUUGCCACUCUUUCCCCCAGUGAGGACUUAGGGUUUGGGGAUUUCGUAGGUAGGUUAAUCAGGAUUUAUCAACUGCUUCCUUUGCCUUUGCCUAGUUCAAUGACGGGGGUGAGGGAGUGGUGAUGGCGUGGGAGGUGAGCAGUGGGUUUGGGGUUAGAGCCCUCUGGCCCUUGCUCUAUCACACACCUCACUUCGAGCCUCAGUGGGAGGGAGUUGCUCUCAGGUUCGCAGCUGGCACACAAAGGCACCCCCGGAGACCUACACAUGGACAGGCACAAGCACAGCCAGGGCACAGAGCCCAUGCAAACACUUACACUUACAUACCCGGACACAGCGCAACCACGCGAGGGUUACAGGAGCGCAGAAAUGCACACAAUCCUUUCGUGCAGUUGGCACACACGUACACACGCACUCACCUGGAGUCUCUCACACACAGAGUCACGUAAAAACACUCAGGCGCCCGGCUGCACCGUCGCCCCCCAGCUCUGGUUUCUGCAGGAGCAGCGGGAGAGGGAAGGUGGCCCCGAAGGCCGAGACCUGGCAGUGACCCCUCCUCCGCACCUCACCGGCACAAGAUCCAGUCUGAGCGAGGAGCUGCCAGCAGCGCGGAUCUCAUGUUGGAAGCCGGAGUUUCCCCGCACCCUACCCGGGAAGGGGGUCGGGGAGGUUGCACCCCAGUGGAUGAAACGGGGGCGCGGCCUGGCUCGUGCCCGGGGGCCGGUGGGGAGAGCGGCGAGAAGGCGCUGGCCGGGAGCCCGAGCGCCGAGAGCCUGGUGCGCCGACUUCUGCUUGCUUUCCCCGGGCCAGCGGCAGAAGAGCCGUGGGACCAGUGUUUAGCCCUGUAGGAGUAAAGGGAAGAAGGAUGACUGCUGGGGCGAGCCGGAGACCGCGGUUUUGGAGCCGUAUGGGCAUGCAAAGGACUCGGAUGUCGUAUGUGUAUUUUUUUUUUCUUGAGUUAUUCUUUUUUUGUUCCCAACUUUGGAGUUGGGUCUGACCUCCCGGGGAGCAUGGACUGAGCCGAGGGGGGGCAGCAGAACCCGGAAGCCGCCCUGGCCCCACCUCGUGCGCACUCUCACAUCCGUACCCACCGGUGUGCACACGCUCGAGGCCAGUCAGUGUGGACCCCGACCCGCGCCGAGCCGCAUGGAGGCGGGAGCCGCCACUCGGACAGGUGGGGACCCGGGUGGGAGCAGGCCCCCUCGGCCUGGGGUCGCCAAGCUCUGGGAACCUUCUGGGCAGGAGGAGGGAGUGAGAGAGGGCGAAAAGCAAAAUAAAGGAGUGAAGAAAAUUCGAGCGUAGCCGCUG